rnacentral:lncRNA from 1 species
AUGGGCCCUGCGUGGAGCCGUCCCCGCUCGGCCCGGGCCUGCGUGUGUUCUGGAAUGUUCUCGCUGCACAGCGGGCUCCUUCUGCACGUGGGCCGCCUGGGGCGAGGCAACGGGCCUGCAGCUUCCCCUGUCGCUGCUGAAGACGGCGCAGAACCACCCCAUGCUGGUGGAGCUGAAGAACGGGGAGACGUACAACGGGCACCUGGUCAGCUGCGACAACUGGAUGAACAUCAACCUGCGGGAGGUGAUCUGCACGUCCAGGGUGAGGCCCGCGCCGCCCCGCCCCCCUGCGGCCCCGCCCCGCCCCCCUGCGGCCCCGCCCCGUGGGCGUCACCCGGCCAGCAGGAGGAGGGCAGCGCCCCCACCGCCGGGACCUACCGGGUGAUGUGGGAGGGGCGGGGCGGCUCCCCAGGACCCACUGAGGGCCUCCCCCCGGGCUGCGAGCCCCUGCAGACCCCGGGGUGGCCGCCAGGCCUGGGCUGCCCCGCCUCCCGGUGGGAGGUGCUGGGUCAGACCCCGGGGUGGGGUGGGGUGGGGUGGGAGGGACCCGGCGCCUCCCCAGGGUUGGCUCAGCCCCCGGGCCCUGCUUCCAGAUCCCCGGCGCCCGCGGGGAGGAGUGACGUCCCGGCCUGUCCUUGGCCACUGUGGAGCCAGCGUGGCGCUGGAGCUGGGCCCCAUGGGACCGCCCUACUUGUGUCUGGCUGGCCUUGGGGUCCCCACUGGGAGCCCGCCCUCGGCGGCCUCGGCCGGCGACGCCCACCCAGCCGCCCGGGGAGCAGCUGACCGGAGGGGGGGUUCUGGCCGGGAACAGCGCCUGCAUGCACCGUGCGGGGCUGGUGGCCAGGGCGGGGCCGGUCCCGAGCUGUGUGGACCUUGUCCCUGUGCAGGGGCCCGGGCGGGGGUGUGGCCGGGAA